rnacentral:rRNA from 1 species
AUGGCCCGCAUUGCGGCGUUCUUGCUGGUGGCCCUGCUCUCCUUAGCCGGGCAUCUCGCGCAGUCCGCGCCAUGCCGAUCAUGCCCGCCCACAAAGCCUUCCCAGCCUGCACCGUGUAAGCACAAGUCCUCACCAUCGUCCAUACCCUGCCCUUCACCUUCACAAACUCCCAUGCCCUCAACCACACCCACACUCACCCCGGUGACUCCGACGCCGGCACCGACCCCGACUGUCUUCAUCCCUCCACCUACAAACACUCCGGCACCCACGCCCAUACCAGCCUCUGUAACUCCAACAUCGGCACCGACCCCUAUGAUGCCUCCAAUACCAACCCCUAUAACUCCAACGCCGGUACCAGCUCCUCUCUCUCCAACACCAACACCGGUGGCCCCAACACCUACAACCGUGAUGCCGCCGACAUAGAUGCCUAUGGCACCAACGCCGGCACCGACCCCUGUAUCUCCAACGCCAAACCCGGUGGCCCCAAGACCUAUCCCUGUGAUGCCGCCAACACCGACGCCGGCAUCGACCCCUAUCUCUCCAACGCCAAGUCCGGUGGCGCCAACACCGACCCGUGUGGUUCCGACGCCAGCACCCACCCCUGUCUCUCCGUCGCCAACCCUGGUGACCCCAACACCGGCCCCUGUGAUGCCGCCAACACCAACAUCGGUGACUCCGAUGCCAGCACCGACCCCCGUUUCUCCAACCCCAACUCCGGUGGCCCCAACAGCGACUCCUAUGAUACCGCCAUCACCAACCCUUGUGACUCCGAUGCCAGCACCAACCCCUGUCUCUCCAACGCCAAUCCCGGUGGCCCCAACACCGACCCUCGUGAUGCCGCCAGCACCCACCCCUGUGACUCCGACGCCACCCCCAGCCCCGGCCCCAGCGCUGGCUACAUCGACCGGCAAGUGCCCCGUGGACACACUGAAGCUACUUGCGUGCGUGGACAUGCUCAAUGGGCUGUUGCACGCGGUGAUCGGCAGUAGCGCCAGGAAUACAUGCUGCCCGCUGCUGUCCGGCGUUGCCGACCUCGACGCUGCUCUCUGCCUUUGCACCACCAUCAAGGUCAAGGCCCUCAACAUCAACCUCAUGCUGCCCAUCGCCAUCGAGGUGCUCGUCAACCAGUGCGGCAAGAGAGUGCCGAAAGACUUCCGCUGCCCUAAUUAA